rnacentral:misc_RNA from 1 species
UUUCUGGUACUGUUUUCACCAUUCUCGUUAGCCUAUACCGCGGAUGAAGUCAAGAAUUUGACAAAAUACAUAUUUGACACAAAUGCUUACGACAAAAACUUAAGACCAGCUUCAAACCAAGUGUCUCCGACGGACCUGAGAGUGUCUUUUAACUUGCUAAGUAUAAACAAGCUAGACGAACUGGAGGAGAAACUCGUCACCACGGCGUACCUGGCCCUUCAGUGGAAGGACGAGUUCCUCACCUGGGACACAGCGGAAUUUCGGAUAAAAAAACUAACGUUGCCACAGAACGCGGUGUGGAAGCCGGACUUUGUCUUAAAGAAUGGUUUUACUGAGUUCAAAGAACUAGGCGGCUCUUUUUAUUACGUAGUACUUGCAUUUGAUGGAACUAUUAUUUGGAAACCUUAUCAAGUGUUUCAGUCACAGUGUUCCAUUGACGUUACGUAUUUUCCAUUUGAUACACAGACAUGCAUUAUUCAGUUCACUAUGUGGUCACACUAUACAUACCAGGUAACAUUGAGUUCAUCAAGCGGUAGUGUUGAAAUGGAUGACUACAAAGUCAACAAAGUUUGGAAAAUCAUGUCAACGUCACAAAACAUCGGCAAUUCUGGAUCCAACAGUAUAGUAACAUAUACCCUAAAUCUGAAGCGAAAACCUGGUUUUUACGUCGAAAAUCUUGUCACACCGAUUCUGUUUCUAGGUGUAUUGAACAUUCUAGUUUUCAUUAUUCCAGCCGAUGCCGGAGAGAAGAUGUCCUACUGUGUAACUGUAGCUUUAGGUUUCAUCGUCUUCUUGACAAUCAUAAGCUCUGAACUACCGGCCAACUCGGACAGCACGCCGUAUCUAUCGAAAUACCUACAGAUUCAAAUCUUUAUGGGAGGAAUAGCACUCGUCAUUUUAGCGGUACAACUGCGGCUUCGCCAUAAAUCUGAGCAGCAGAAAGUAUAUGCACCAUUAAAACUUCUAGUUAAAGCCUCAUUUUGUAAACCUUUUAAAGCCAAAGUAUCAUGUAAGGAUAAAGCUACCCCAGUAUAUGAACAAAACAAGGAAAUUCAGGACAUGAAGAUAUAUGAUGAUCCGAUUACAUGUACCUGGAAUGAUGUAUCGUCCACCAUAGAUUUUGUGAUGUUUUGGAUUUAUAUUUUCGUUUAUUGCAUAAGUACUAUUUCUAUAAUGACUAUUCUCAAGAACUGAUAAAAUACAUAAUUUAUCUUG